CCUACGGGGGGCUGCAGUGAGGAAUAUUGCGCAAUGGAGGCAACUCUGACGCAGCCAUGCCGCGUGCAGGAAGAAGGCGCUACGCGUUGUAAACUGCUUUUACCAGGGAAGAAACCCCAGGACGUGUCCUGGGUUGACGGUACCUGAGGAAUAAGCACCGGCUAACUUCGUGCCAGCAGCCGCGGUAAUACGAAGGGUGCAAGCGUUAUCCGGAUUCAUUGGGUUUAAAGGGUGCGUAGGCGGAACAUUAAGUCAGUGGUGAAAUCCUGCAGCUCAACUGUAGACUUGCCAUUGAUACUGGUAUUCUUGAGUGCGCUUGAAGUAGGCGGAAUAUGUCGUGUAGCGGUGAAAUGCUUAGAUAUGACAUAGAACACCAAUUGCGAAGGCAGCUUACUAAGGCGAUACUGACGCUGAGGCACGAAAGCGUGGGGAGCGAACAGGAUUAGAUACCCCUGUAGUC
rnacentral:rRNA from 1 species